AAGUAGCUAUGGCCUCUCACGACAAUCGCAUGUGAACUCCAUCGCAUCACGUAUGCAGCUAGCUCCUAGCUACCUGGGGAAUCCAGUGCUCAGGGGCCAAAAGAAAAACCCUGCAAAUCAUCUAGAGUGCAAAUCAUCUAGUGUUCAGGAGCUAGCCAUCGUCUUCUCUUACAGCUGUACAUACAAUUCGGAUUUUAGAGCUUGAUAAUUCACCUUGUAAAUAUUUGUUAGUACUAGCACUAAGUAAUUAGUCAGAGCAUAGUUGUAAAUAUUGAGCCUCAGGCUCCCAGAACACACCAAGUUGUGGGCAGAGGAAGCCAAAGCCUCUGAAGAUGAUGCCGACUGGCUUGUGAAGACGGAGCAACCAUUUGCUGUGGUGCUAACCGCAAUUAGGGGUGGGGUCCGUCGUCGUUGGCCGGCCGGGCGUCGCUUUUCGCCUUGAUGGCCGGCCCCGCCGCUCACGCUUUCCUCAUUUGCAGCUGCUGCCUGCUGCUGGUGGAGUGCUUUGGGUUCUAUCUAGGUAUUUCUUGGCCAGUUUUUAUUCAAGAGAAACAAAACAAAAUUAUUAUCUUGGGCAGGCAGUUCAACAUCCGUGUCUAGGUGGUUGCAGUUGCAGGUCAGGCAGGCAGCAAGGUGGUUAGCAGUUGAGCUUAGCUAUCCGUCGUAAAUAAAGGACGUCGCCGUCUGCUCCUUUCUUCCCAGGUCCAUCUGACUCCAUUCUCCGCUGGAAUUGGACCGCCUGCUUCUUGGCUACACUGGAUUUCCAGGGAUCUCAGCAGCCGAUCCUGCUGCCACCUGCUGCCAUGGGCGCCGGCCAUGUAUAUGUGCAAGUUGCUGCCCAACAGUCCAACCAGAAAUGGCCACACAACCCGUACCAAACCACGCGCCUUCUGCACGUACAUGACUGCUGCAUCAGGCCAAGACUGGUGAAAGUAACUUUCUUUGUUUCAGAACUAGCAGUAUACUAUACCAAGCUUCUAGCAUGUGCAAGGAAAAUGGGCAGUGGUUGUUGUGGUUGUGCACCUAAUAACUUACCACUGAUGAUCCCUUUGAUUAAUUGACUCCUUGAUCCAGUACAGGAAUAACUGGUAGGACUAGUGUAUUGUAAGUGUGUGUGAUUGAAAAUGCUCACAGCUACUAUUCACUAAUUAAAAGACGGCUGUACUGGUGCACUGGAUUGGAAUGGAUGAUGAUGAAAGCUACCCAUACUGCCAUGCGGGCUUUUGAUUUCAGCCACGCAUCACUCGUGGCACGGAAAAGCCCCCCAUAA
rnacentral:lncRNA from 1 species